rnacentral:tRNA from 1 species
GGCUCCAUGGUUUAGUUGGUUAAAGCGCCUGUCUAGUAAACAGGAGAUCGUGGGUUCAAAUCCCAGCAGGGCCU